rnacentral:rRNA from 1 species
GACGAACGCUGGCGGCGUGCUUAACACAUGCAAGUCGAACGGAAAGGCCCUGCUUUUGUGGGGUGCUCGAGUGGCGAACGGGUGAGUAACACGUGAGUAACCUGCCCUUGACUUUGGGAUAACUUCAGGAAACUGGGGCUAAUACCGGAUAGGAGCUCCUGCUGCAUGGUGGGGGUUGGAAAGUUUCGGCGGUUGGGGAUGGACUCGCGGCUUAUCAGCUUGUUGGUGGGGUAGUGGCUUACCAAGGCUUUGACGGGUAGCCGGCCUGAGAGGGUGACCGGCCACAUUGGGACUGAGAUACGGCCCAGACUCGUACGGGAGGCAGCAGUGGGGAAUAUUGCACAAUGGGGGGAAGCCUGAUGCAACAACGCCGCGUGCGGGAUGACGGCCUUCGGGUUGUAAACCACUUUCGCCUGUGACGAAGCGUGAGUGACGGUAAUGGAUAAAGAAGCACCGGCUAACUACGUG